AGAACGAACGCUGGCGGCAGGCCUAACACAUGCAAGUCGAGCGCCCGUAGCAAUACGGGAGCGGCAGACGGGAUAGUAACACGUGGGAACGCGCCCUUCGGUUCGGAAUAACUCAGGGAAACUUGAGCUAAUACCGGAUACGCCCUUACGGGGAAAGAUUUAUUGCCGAAGGAACGGCCCGCGUCCGAUUAGCUAGUUGGUGAGGUAAUGGCUCACCAAGGCACGAUCGGUAGCUGGUCUGAGAGGAUGACCAGCAUCACUGGGACUGAGACACGGCCCAGACUCCUACGGGAGGCAGCAGUGGGGAAUAUUGGACAAUGGGCGCAAGCCUGAUCCAGCCAUGCCGCGUGGAUGAUGAAGGCCUUAGGGUUGUAAAGUCCUUUUAACGGGGAAGAUAAUGACGGUACCCGUAGAAUAAGCCCCGGCUAACUUCGUGCCAGCAGCCGC
rnacentral:rRNA from 1 species